rnacentral:siRNA from 1 species
UGAGUUAAGCCAGUUUAGACUU